rnacentral:rRNA from 1 species
AUGAACGCUAGCGAUAGGCUUAACACAUGCAAGUCGAGGGGCAGCAUGGUCUUAGCUUGCUAAGACUGAUGGCGACCGGCGCACGGGUGCGUAACGCGUAUGCAACUUGCCUCACAGAGGGGGAUAACCCGUCGAAAGACGGACUAAUACCGCGUACACUCCAUCUUGGGCAUCCAAGGUAGAGGAAAUGAAAUUCGCUGUGAGAUAGGCAUGCGUCCCAUUAGCUAGUUGGUGAGGUAACGGCUCACCAAGGCGACGAUGGGUAGGGGAACUGAGAGGUUGAACCCCCACACUGGUACUGAGACACGGACCAGACUCCUACGGGAGGCAGCAGUGAGGAAUAGUGGUCAAUGGGCGAGAGCCUGAACCAGCCAAGUCGCGUGAAGGAUGACUGUCUUAUGGAUUGUAAACUUCUUUUAUACGGGAAUAACAAGAGUCACGUGUGACUCCCUGCAUGUACCGUAUGAAUAAGCAUCGGCUAACUCCGUG